UACAGAGGUCUCAAGCGUUGUUCGGAUUCAUUGGGCGUAAAGGGUGCGUAGGCGGCGCGGUAAGUCGGGUGUGAAAUCUCGGGGCUUAACUCCGAAACUGCAUUCGAUACUGCCGUGCUUGAGGACUGGAGAGGAGACUGGAAUUCACGGUGUAGCAGUGAAAUGCGUAGAUAUCGUGAGGAAGACCAGUGGCGAAGGCGGAUCUCUGGACAGUUCCUGACGCUGAGGCGCGAAGGCCCAGGGGGAGCAAAACGGGG
rnacentral:rRNA from 1 species